rnacentral:lncRNA from 1 species
AGGCUCUGCAGGGGAGGUUCUAUUCGGGGCGUCCCAUCAUUGCUGAUUUCUCUCCCGUGACGGAUUUUAGGGAGGCUACUUGCAGGCAGUACGAGGAGGAUAACUGUAACCGCGGCGGGUACUGUAACUUUAUGCACGUGAAGCAGAUUUCGAGGGAGCUUAGGAGGAAGUUGUUUGGGAGGUAUCGGAGGUCGUACCGCCGUGGGAGCAGGAGUAGGAGCAGGAGCAGGAGUGUAAGCCCGAGGCGCAAGAGAGAGCGAGGGGAUGUUAGGGAGCGUGGUGAACGUGACCGUGACCGCCAUGGGAAUGGGAAAAGAAGCAGUGAUAGGUCGGAGAGGCAUGACAGGGAUGGUGGUGGUGGUGGGAGGAGGAGACAUGGUAGCCCGAGACGUCAUAUUCGAGGAGCUCGACAAGUUCGGCGAGAUGGAGUCUCUCAAUGUCUGCGACAAUCUCGCUGACCACAUGAUAGGCAAUGUCUACGUCCUCUUCAAGGAAGAGGACCAGGCCGCCGCCGCGCUGAAGGCUCUGCAAGGGAGGUUCUAUUCGGGGCGUCCCAUCAUUGCUGAUUUCUCCCCCGUGACGGAUUUUAGGGAGGCUACUUGCAGGCAGUAUGAGGAGGAUAACUGUAACCGCGGCGGGUAUUGUAACUUUAUGCACGUGAAGCAGAUUUCGAGGGAGCUUAGGAGGAAGUUGUUUGGGAGGUAUCGGAGGUCGUACCGCCGUGGGAGCAGGAG